rnacentral:lncRNA from 13 species
UUUCGAAGGGCCACUGAACAGGCAUUUUACUUGUCUGCAAGGAAUGCGGGACUAACUUCCAUCACUAGGUCAGAGCCGUAUCAGGAGCCAACCAGGAGUUGUGACAGGAGAGGAGAUCCAAUCAGAGGAGAGAGAUGUUGGUGCAGGGCGGGCCUUGGGUCCUGUCUGUCAUGUCGUUGCUCCUGCUGCUGUGGCAAGAAAUGUCUGCUAUCGAGGUUCCUCUUGAUCAAAAGAUCCAGCAGGAUUGAGUAUAGCCUACCUGGCUGGCAUGAAAAUGAACCACGGGAAAAAGCAUCCUCCAUUUGCUAUUUUCAGCUGCCCCUGUUUCGAGACAGGUGCAUGAUAAUUGUGUGAUGGGUGACAAUAUUAGCCUAUCACUUGUGAAUGAUGCCCAGCAAAGUGCACUUCUUCAAAUCAUAGUCGCACACUUCUUGUAGCCUGGCCUAUAUGUUUUGAUAAGGUUUGCAUAACAACUAAAGUGACCAAAUAACUUUGUAAAAUGAAGCACAUUAAUCUGCUUCACAAGGGGUGUAGAGCCUAACUGGCAUACAUACGCAGCACGUGAGCUUCAAGUUUGAGGAAGAUAAUUUACCAUAAAAAUGCACAAAAAAAUGCAAAUCACAUUUGUGGUCACUUUUGAGAAUGGUGUUUUCCUGCUAAUGGAACAUACACACUUAUAGCGUGCACAUUGCUGCACUGAUGUGAAGAAAUUGCCUAAUAGUUGAUCAACAUCUUAAGCUAAACGUUCUGAUCUGUUGCGUCAGCCUCAUUGCUUAAAACCGUUUUUCUGAUGUUAGUGGUUGUAUUCAUUUGGGAUCUAUCGCAUCCCACAACUGUCCCAGACUGUCUGGAAUAUUUAUUUAUUGUACAGAAUAUAAUAGGUCAACUUUUGUAUUAUUGGCGAUAGUGGAUUGACAGGCGAGUGUUUUUGCUGUUCGUUAGUCCUACUCAUCUUGUUGGCUGACAAAAAGUAAAUGUGGAUAGUUCUUCCAAUAUCUUCAAUAUGCUCCUCAGAAUUGGAUAAUGACGCGCACAGUUUCGCAUCCUUAUCAGCCCAAGGGCCACUGGCCGCAAAAGGCAUCUUUUUUUAGGUGGCAUUACAGCCACACAAAGGUGAUGCCACCCGGAAAAUCAAGGCAUUAUCAAGUGCUUGUCAAAUAGUGAAUGAGAGACUGGUGAAGUGUUUACAGCCUGUGCAAAAAAUAAGUCUCAUCAUACAGCCUUACAAUGUAUUAAAAAUCAAAACAUAUAGCCCAAAGUUUGUAGAACUAAAGUUACAUUAAUAACUCAAAAUUAAGCAUAGUGGCGUACCUGCUCACAGAAUAGCCGCAUGUGCGCACUCCCAAUAUUGGAGAAAAUAUCCUUUCUAUUUUAUUCAGCUUUGUUCAAUUUUAUUCUUACUAAAAUAAUGACAUGGAAUUCUAAGCAAAUCAUGUCUGCUAAAUGAACUAGUGUAACCCACAGCCAUAUGGAAUAGUCAGAGCAGGGCCUAAAAUAAGGAUAAUUUGGAGUAUGCUAUUCUGUUCUUCCUAAAUAUACUAAAUUUUUUCCAUAUCAUGUACCUUUAGACCUGUCUAAAAUAAAUAAUGGAUUUAUUGUGAAGGUGUAGGCUAUAUUACAUGGAUUUAGACUUUUUUAAAUGUAGAUUUUCCAAAGGUCUGCAUCAGUGGCUUGUAGGUGUCAUGGCUGUUGA